rnacentral:rRNA from 1 species
ACGAACGCUGGCGGCGUGCUUAACCCAUGCCAGUCGAACGGAAAGGCCCUGCUUUUGUGGGGUGCUCGAGUGGCGAACGGGUGAGUAACACGUGAGUAACCUGCCCUUGACUUUGGGAUAACUUCAGGAAACUGGGGCUAAUACCGGAUAGGAGCUCCUGCUGCAUGGUGGGGGUUGGAAAGUUUCGGCGGUUGGGGAUGGACUCGCGGCUUAUCAGCUUGUUGGUGGGGUAGUGGCUUACCAAGGCUUUGACGGGUAGCCGGCCUGAGGGGGUGACCGGCCACAUUGGGACUGAGAUACGGCCCAGACUCCUACGGGAGGCAGCAGUGGGGAAUAUUGCACAAUGGGCGGAAGCCUGAUGCAGCAACGCCGCGUGCGGGAUGACGGCCUUCGGGUUGUAAACCGCUUUCGCCUGUGACGAAGCGUGAGUGACGGUAAUGGGUAAAGAAGCACCGGCUAACUACGUG